rnacentral:rRNA from 1 species
AGCGUACACGGUGGAUGCCCUGGCAGUCAGAGGCGAUGAAGGACGUGCUAAUCUGCGAUAAGCGUCGGUAAGGUGAUAUGAACCGUUAUAACCGGCGAUUUCCGAAUGGGGAAACCCAGUGUGUUUCGACACACUAUCAUUAACUGAAUCCAUAGGUUAAUGAGGCGAACCGGGGGAACUGAAACAUCUAAGUACCCCGAGGAAAAGAAAUCAACCGAGAUUCCCCCAGUAGCGGCGAGCGAACGGGGAGCAGCCCAGAGCCUGAAUCAGUGUGUGUGUUAGUGGAAGCGUCUGGAAAGGCGCGCGAUACAGGGUGACAGCCCCGUACACAAAAAUGCACAUAUUGUGAGCUCGAUGAGUAGGGCGGGACACGUGGUAUCCUGUCUGAAUAUGGGGGGACCAUCCUCCAAGGCUAAAUACUCCUGACUGACCGAUAGUGAACCAGUACCGUGAGGGAAAGGCGAAAAGAACCCCGGCGAGGGGAGUGAAAAAGAACCUGAAACCGUGUACGUACAAGCAGUGGGAGCACGCUUAGGCGUGUGACUGCGUACCUUUUGUAUAAUGGGUCAGCGACUUAUAUUCUGUAGCAAGGUUAACCGAAUAGGGGAGCCGAAGGGAAACCGAGUCUUAACUGGGCGUUAAGUUGCAGGGUAUAGACCCGAAACCCGGUGAUCUAGCCAUGGGCAGGUUGAAGGUUGGGUAACACUAACUGGAGGACCGAACCGACUAAUGUUGAAAAAUUAGCGGAUGACUUGUGGCUGGGGGUGAAAGGCCAAUCAAACCGGGAGAUAGCUGGUUCUCCCCGAAAGCUAUUUAGGUAGCGCCUCGUGAAUUCAUCUCCGGGGGUAGAGCACUGUUUCGGCAAGGGGGUCAUCCCGACUUACCAACCCGAUGCAAACUGCGAAUACCGGAGAAUGUUAUCACGGGAGACACACGGCGGGUGCUAACGUCCGUCGUGAAGAGGGAAACAACCCAGACCGCCAGCUAAGGUCCCAAAGUCAUGGUUAAGUGGGAAACGAUGUGGGAAGGCCCAGACAGCCAGGAUGUUGGCUUAGAAGCAGCCAUCAUUUAAAGAAAGCGUAAUAGCUCACUGGUCGAGUCGGCCUGCGCGGAAGAUGUAACGGGGCUAAACCAUGCACCGAAGCUGCGGCAGCGACGCUGAUGCGUUGUUGGGUAGGGGAGCGUUCUGUAAGCCUGUGAAGGUGUGCUGUGAGGCAUGCUGGAGGUAUCAGAAGUGCGAAUGCUGACAUAAGUAACGAUAAAGCGGGUGAAAAGCCCGCUCGCCGGAAGACCAAGGGUUCCUGUCCAACGUUAAUCGGGGCAGGGUGAGUCGACCCCUAAGGCGAGGCCGAAAGGCGUAGUCGAUGGGAAACAGGUUAAUAUUCCUGUACUUGGUGUUACUGCGAAGGGGGGACGGAGAAGGCUAUGUUGGCCGGGCGACGGUUGUCCCGGUUUAAGCGUGUAGGCUGGUUUUCCAGGCAAAUCCGGAAAAUCAAGGCUGAGGCGUGAUGACGAGGCACUACGGUGCUGAAGCAACAAAUGCCCUGCUUCCAGGAAAAGCCUCUAAGCAUCAGGUAACAUCAAAUCGUACCCCAAACCGACACAGGUGGUCAGGUAGAGAAUACCAAGGCGCUUGAGAGAACUCGGGUGAAGGAACUAGGCAAAAUGGUGCCGUAACUUCGGGAGAAGGCACGCUGAUAUGUAGGUGAAGUCCCUCGCGGAUGGAGCUGAAAUCAGUCGAAGAUACCAGCUGGCUGCAACUGUUUAUUAAAAACACAGCACUGUGCAAACACGAAAGUGGACGUAUACGGUGUGACGCCUGCCCGGUGCCGGAAGGUUAAUUGAUGGGGUCAGCGCAAGCGAAGCUCUUGAUCGAAGCCCCGGUAAACGGCGGCCGUAACUAUAACGGUCCUAAGGUAGCGAAAUUCCUUGUCGGGUAAGUUCCGACCUGCACGAAUGGCGUAAUGAUGGCCAGGCUGUCUCCACCCGAGACUCAGUGAAAUUGAACUCGCUGUGAAGAUGCAGUGUACCCGCGGCAAGACGGAAAGACCCCGUGAACCUUUACUAUAGCUUGACACUGAACAUUGAGCCUUGAUGUGUAGGAUAGGUGGGAGGCUUAGAAGUGUGGACGCCAGUCUGCAUGGAGCCGACCUUGAAAUACCACCCUUUAAUGUUUGAUGUUCUAACGUUGACCCGUAAUCCGGGUUGCGGACAGUGUCUGGUGGGUAGUUUGACUGGGGCGGUCUCCUCCUAAAGAGUAACGGAGGAGCACGAAGGUUGGCUAAUCCUGGUCGGACAUCAGGAGGUUAGUGCAAUGGCAUAAGCCAGCUUGACUGCGAGCGUGACGGCGCGAGCAGGUGCGAAAGCAGGUCAUAGUGAUCCGGUGGUUCUGAAUGGAAGGGCCAUCGCUCAACGGAUAAAAGGUACUCCGGGGAUAACAGGCUGAUACCGCCCAAGAGUUCAUAUCGACGGCGGUGUUUGGCACCUCGAUGUCGGCUCAUCACAUCCUGGGGCUGAAGUAGGUCCCAAGGGUAUGGCUGUUCGCCAUUUAAAGUGGUACGCGAGCUGGGUUUAGAACGUCGUGAGACAGUUCGGUCCCUAUCUGCCGUGGGCGCUGGAGAACUGAGGGGGGCUGCUCCUAGUACGAGAGGACCGGAGUGGACGCAUCACUGGUGUUCGGGUUGUCAUGCCAAUGGCACUGCCCGGUAGCUAAAUGCGGAAGAGAUAAGUGCUGAAAGCAUCUAAGCACGAAACUUGCCCCGAGAUGAGUUCUCCCUGACUCCUUGA